UACAGAGGGGGCAAGCGUUAUUCGGAAUUAAUGGGCGUAAAGGGCGCGUAGGCGGCCUGGCAAGUGGAUGGUGAAAUCCCUCGGCUUAACCGAGGAACUGCCGUCCAAACUGCUUGGCUUGAGUCCGGGAGAGGUGAGUGGAAUUCCCAGUGUAGCGGUGAAAUGCGUAGAUAUUGGGAGGAACACCAGUGGCGAAGGCGGCUCACUGGACCGGAACUGACGCUGAUGCGCGAAAGCGUGGGGAGCAAACGGG
rnacentral:rRNA from 1 species